GAAAUGCGAUAAGUAAUGUGAAUUGCAGAAUUCAGUGAAUCAUCGAAUCUUUGAACGCACCUUGCGCUCCUUGGUAUUCCUUGGAGCAUGCCUGUUUGAGUAUCAUGAAAUCUUCAAAGUAAAUCUUUUGUUAACUCAAUUGGCUUCUACUUUGGUAUUGGAGGUCUUUGCAGCUUCACACCUGCUCCUCUUUGUUCAUUAGCUGGAUCUCAGUGUUAUGCUUGGUUCCACUCGGCGUGAUAAGUUAUCUAACGCUGAGGACACUGUAAAAGGUGGCCAAGGUAAAUGCAGAUGAACCGCUUCUAAUAGUCCAUUGACUUGGACAAUACUUUUAUGAUCUGAUCUCAAAUCAGGUAGGACUACCCGCUGAACUUAAGC
rnacentral:misc_RNA from 1 species